UUGAACGCUGGCGGCAGGCCUAACACAUGCAAGUCGAGCGGUUGAGAGUAGCUUGCUACUUGAUGCAGCGGCGGACGGGUGAGUAACGCGUGGGAAUCUGCCCAGUAGUGGGGGACAACAGCCGGAAACGGCUGCUAAUACCGCAUACGCCCUACGGGGGAAAGGGGGGGAUCUUCGGACCUCUCGCUAUUGGAUGAGCCCGCGUCGGAGUAGCUAGUUGGUAGGGUAAAGGCCUACCAAGGCUACGCUCAGUAACUGGUCUGAGAGGAUGAUCAGUCACACUGGAACUGAGACACGGUCCAGACUCCUACGGGAGGCAGAAGUGGGGAAUAUUGGACAAUGGGGGAAACCCUGAUCCAGCCAUGCCGCGUGUGUGAAGAAGGCCUUAGGGUUGUAAAGCACUUUCAGUGGGGAGAAAGGUUUGUCACCUAAUACGUGAUGAAAUUGAUGUUACCCACAGAAGAAGCACCGGCUAACUCCGUGCCAGCCGCCGCCGUAAAAC
rnacentral:rRNA from 1 species